UCUCCAGUGACAGCUGUCACAGCACAACUCAGAAGAAGCUUGAAUGGAAGCUGGAAUUAAGCUAGUGUAUGUGAAUUAAACCACUGGCACUGUUUGUGGCAGCCGUUAAUACAUUGCAACUUAGCAACAGUUCGACGUUUUCUAAAUAUUUUUUUUUUUCAUCAAUUCACCUGCAACAACAGCAACCUUCUCGGGUGUCAGUGGCUCUUUAGGCAGUUCACCUAGGCAUUUUUUUCGUGGCGCCACCAUGCCUCUGACGCUCUUCUUUUCUAUGACAUCUUUUCCCCACACAGCUUCAGCCGUGUCCUUUACAACAAGUGUUGGCUUGACGUUGCACAUGAUCUUUAAAGCAGCUUCAGCCCGUACAACUCCCUUGGCAAGGUGGAACUGUGAGAAGAAGCAAUAUAAUACAUACAAAGUCAUAAUGAGGCAGCAGACCAGGAGGAAAGUGAAAGAAAUUUUAAAAUAAUAGAAGGCAUCAGCUUUCUGCCUAAGGUCAAAGGUGUACUUAGCUGGAAUUGUGGUAAUGGCUUAUUGACUAAUCUGCUUAUACUCAUUGCCAUCAUCUAAGUACGUGAAGUUAGCAGCUGUUGUUGCAUUGCUGCUGUUUGGCCUGCAAAAUAAAGGUCACUUGAUUACGUUUUUUUUGUUGCGUUCUGCAAAUUAGUAAAAAACUGCACUCACAAUGACAAGAAAUCGAAUGACAACUUUCAAGCCAUUUCGACUGCUGCUUUUGUAGAAAAAAAAGGAGUACACACUUGUACCAAUCACUUUGUAAAAGGACAUCAAAUGUGGUACAUAUCUAUACCUAAGUAUUUUUGGUGUAUAAGGAAGCUUGCAUUGAACUUGAAGAUUGCUUGAAGAAGUAUUGAGUCUGAUAAAAAAAAGCUGAAAACCUCAAUGCUGCCAAUAUGAGCCUUGUCGAACAGCACACCUGCACAUGUAAAAACACUCGGAACACCAAGGAGGUCUAUCAGUGAAAGAUGAAAACACACUGAAUAAUCUGUUUGAUUGUUGGGGAGUAUUCAGCAUGCUAAAAUAUGGUACAUAGGUGUACCCUUGUCCAUAGAUCCGCACUUGAAAAGAGUGGGAUGAUUCUGACCCCCUCAAGCCAUAAAUGGUUAAAUGAAGUAUCACUGAGUACACAAAGGAAGUGAGCUAAAAGGAUGCAGUUUUGUACUUCGUAGAAAUAAGGUUCAAUAUUGCAGCGUUAAUAUUUGUACUAUUUUAUCACAAUUGGUUAACAGCAUAUCACAGUCUACGCAUAUCACAGUCUACGCAUAUCACAGUCCACGCAUAUCACAUCACAGCAUAUCACAAGCAAUUAUGCAGUUCUGGAGAAAUGAAAAUGAUAAAAUUGAGAAUUUCGGAUUCUUUGUAUGGAUAAGCGAGGUAUUAAAAGCAUAGCACUAAUAAAGACAAACAAAUAUAAAAAAUCAACAUAAACAAAAGCUACGUGCCCACCUCCUAUAUGACUCCCUUGGCACCAAAACUGAAAAAUGGGGCUAUAAACACUGCAUUAAUUGACUUACAGGUUAAUCCAUUUCUUUCUCCAGUUCUGCAACAAGCUGCAUAAUUUUAACUUUACAUUUUGAUGCCAUAUUACGUGGCAUCUUAUCCAAACUUAGGCCUACAGACAAACCAAACGCCUCAUUGCCAUACAUUCUUUUCUCAAGUUGGCCCAAAAGUUGAUCUUCAAAGCUGUCUGUCUUGUCUUCCUUUUUUGGCUUGGGUGGAGCGUCACUAUAUCUCUCGGUUACCGAUGUUGGUGGUACUGCCAAUGAUGCUUGCAUUGUUGGUGAUGCUAGUUCGGGUGGAGUGUCCAGAAAACUUUCAACUGCUGAUGGUGACAGUGGUGUGCUGUACAUUCCUGACAAAAUGCUUUCAGCGGUCUCGCCAACAUCAUCACUACCCGAGUAGGAAGGGGCUUCCGUGCUGCAUGUAGUUCUGCAGAGAAAAGGCUGACAUUAUUCGAGCAAAAACAGGCGUGCAAUUGUAAGGCCAAACGAAAUUGGUUUUGCAGCCAUUUCAUUUGGCUGCAUCGCUCACUGAGAAUGCUGAAGGCUUCUUUGGAGGAAUAAUAUUGUUUAUAUAUAGAGAAUAAUAUCCUGUAGACACUUCAGAAAAAGAAGUUUUAAAAGUCGUGUGCACAAUCGUAGUUAACCCCAAUGAGACAGGCAAUUCUUUCGAGGUAUUCAGUGUCCAAUUUAUAGUUUCAUGCAAGUACUAAAGCGAUAUGAGAAAAAUAGCACCCUGAACAUUUCGUGCUAAAAAGAAAGAAAAGGGCAGAUGCGGCCAGCUCCAGCAAGCUCGUGCGUCCUUAAUGAACACAAAAAAAAUACAUGGCUUGCACCGACGUCGCAUCCGGUCACCGUGAGACGCCUGUUGGCCUUGCUGACGAACUGCUGCCGGGCCACUCCUUGCUUACUGCUGCCUCUGUCAGCUCGCAUUGUGUUGGUUUGCAACCACUUGCAGCUUCAAUAUGGUUUUGUGUGCAGUUGUUGGCUGCUCCAACCGUAGCGACAGCUCCAGGCAAAAAGAAGCCUACUAAUGCGAACUUUUUCUGAAUUCCGAAGAUGGUCGUAGACAUGUGCGCACGCCCUAAGACACUCAGCACAAAUCUGCGCACGUUGUGGCUGGCUCGCAUUAAUCGAGCCGAUCUGGACCCCCAGAACCUCAAUUUACAUGUGUACGGAGCGCACUUCGUGACAGGUGCCGUGAACUAAAUGUUCACGAAAACGUGGCAAGCAAGGACUACACCCUGAAGAAGUGAAUGUUUUGGAUUCGCAAGGACGCCAUUCGAUUUGUUUGAUAGCAUGAACCCAGGCGGGCCCGUCGCUGCAUCUCGGCUACAGCAUUAGGCAAGCAGAUGUGGAUCGCCACGAGCGCAGCAAGCGACGACGGUAGAGAAAGCGGCGUGCCGAGGCCGAGGCAACCAAUCCGGCCGCGCCAGAACAGCCGUGCUGUGUGUCCGCAGCCGUGCCUGAUCCCCCAUCACCACAAGCCGAGGAGGCUGACGCCACAGAAGAAACUGGUGUUUAUGUACAGACCAACCAUGUUGCAACUUGUACUGUUUUCGGCUCCUUGAAAACAAGCACAGCUCUCCGCCCGCGUCGCGAGCAAGGGUACGAGGAGCAGCUGCACCAAAAAACAUGGAAAGAAGUUUGUAAAGUGCUGCACUGGUGCGGUAUAUGAAAUACCUUUGACCUGCGGGAAAACUGUGGGCCAAAUGGGUAGAUGCGUGAAUAACCAUCCAGCUGAACAUGUGCGGUCGCUGAAAGAAGGAGGUGCGCAUCUUUCGCAACAUUGUGCAACUUGCACUGCGUGUGACUGAGCGGCAGAACAUUCGCCACAAAAACAAUGCCAGUACAGCAAGAAGUGCGAACCACGGUUCGGAGAGAGAAAGAUUCUUGGCAGGAGCAGAGGCACGUGAGGUUUUGAAAGCAUUCUAUAUAAAGAAAAGAGGAAAAAACUGUGUUAGUGAUACUUCCGUGACCCUCUUCAAAAGCGAAAUCUAGAACGGUUUGGCAGAUGAUGCAUUAUGGUCAUUGUGCGCAUGUCUGUGAUUUUCCUUAUAUUUGCUGAUUUUUCAGUGAAUAAAGAUAGAUGAAGUUGGCGCUUGU